UACAGAGGGUGCGAGCGUUAAUCGGAAUUACUGGGCGUAAAGGGCGCGUAGGCGGUUAUUUAAGUUAGAUGUGAAAUCCCUGGGCUUAACCUAGGAACUGCAUUUAAUACUGGGUAACUGGAGUGUGGUAGAGGGUAGUGGAAUUUCCGGUGUAGCGGUGAAAUGCGUAGAUAUCGGAAGGAACACCAGUGGCGAAGGCGGCCUGCUGGGCUGUUGCUGACGCUGAGGCGCGAAAGCGUGGGGAGCAAACAGG
rnacentral:rRNA from 1 species